UUUUCUUUUUUUCUUUUUUUUUCCUUUUUUUUUCUGGUGAUUGCUUGAAGGUCUGAUCACAUUAAAUAGGAAGCUUGGCUCUUACAGCACUGGUCCCACCAAACCUUUUUCUCUUCCAAGGCAAAAUUUGGCCUUCAUGCUCAUGUGGACCCAUGCUACUACCUUUGAAGAUCAGCACUGCUAGUACAAGGAGGCAACUCCACUCUUCAUGAACAAGGGCAGCACACCUCCUGUACCAGCCAAAUGGUAGUUCAAGGGUGGAUGGCAUGAUUCAUGGGCACCUACACUAUACCUAACAGGCAGUUCAUUAACGUGCUCCUCAGAACCUCCAGUGUGCUGCGGAACUUCAGAGAGAGGUGGCAAAAUACAGCAUGCAGGAGAGCUGCGCAGCAGAGAAGGUGUGCCAUAGCUGGUUAUCCCCACGCCAUAUCUGAGUAAUUGACUCGCAGAUUUUGCACUCAGCCAUCCUAUGUUGCAGUUUGGACCACUUCUCCAGUUUUUCAAGAUGGCCUCUGGAGAAGCUUCCUUAUCCUGAAGUAGCACACAGCAGAAGAGCCAUGGAGCAUGGUUCUUUCUAGCCCGAGCUGCAGCAUGAGGCACAGAAGGGGCAGGACACAGGAAAGGAGAUGCUGUUACAGUACCAGGGUAUUCAGGAGUGGCAGAAUGGAAAGAAGAGACCAUCUUGUACUAUCCAACAGGAUAUUUUGUUAAAACUGACAUGGGGAUUGCCAAUGCCUUGCUUUCAAAACUGGGACGUUAAAAAGUACUUCACAUUAGGACAGCGUUUAUUUUGUUCUUCAGUGGAAAAAGUGAAACAUUCCUUAAUCAGCGAGGAAGCAUGCUUUCUGCAUACCCCUGCACAAAAUUUGGUAUGA
rnacentral:lncRNA from 1 species